rnacentral:lncRNA from 1 species
CGAUGACGGAAUCCUGAGCAUCAUAGAGGAUAAGCAUUUUGCAACAAUUGACAUGCUUGGGCAGUGACAAAUAUUUGAAAUGUAUACCUUCGUUAAGUUAAGAUUACGAGGAAAUAAAGUUUAUUUAAUUGUCAAAAGUAUACAAUCAGUCAUGUAAACAGUCUAUUUUUUAAAAUGAGUAGUUGAACAUGAAAAUGCCAGCUGUAUUAAAAAUGGUGCAAAGCUUUGACGUUUUGCACAGAGGUCAGUUGAAAAUAAUUGAAAACAACGUCGAGUAACGUUACCAUUACUAAACCGAAC